GAAAUGCGAUACGUAAUGCGAAUUGCAGAAUUCAGUGAAUCAUCAAAUCUUUGAACGCAAAUGGCGCUCUUGGGUAGCCCUAGGAGCACACCUCUCUCAGUAUCGGUUCAACAACCGCUCAGCAGCGUGCUUGAUUAUUACUUCACGGUUUAGUCAGGUUCGUGUGGCUGGAAAAUGAGAGUCUGAGUGCUUAGUCACUUAGUCUCUUGAAAUACAUGGAGUAAGCAUAUGAUUCUGUCGGUCCUGGGUCUAUACGAUUCUAGGCGGUGCCGGACUU
rnacentral:misc_RNA from 1 species